rnacentral:lncRNA from 1 species
CAGGGAACAACUAUCAACUAGUUUGAAAAGUUCUUCCAUUUAGUAAUGGAAGUCAUCCGUUGUCACUUUCUAAGGGUAUGGUAGAGAGGCUUGAGAAGGUGGACAAUCCUUCAGUGAAGACCUAACGAGAGGCUGAAUUCAAACACACCCAAAAUCCACAAGAAUCGUACGAACAUCUAUGGAGCGUAGCAAGGUAUGGUAGAGAGGCUUGAGAAGGUGGAAAAUCCUUCAGUGAAGACUUAACGAGAGGCUGAAUUCAAACAUACCCAAAAUCCACAAGAAUCGUAAGAACAUCUAUGGAGCGUAGCUAGGAACCUUGGCUUCAGCUCUC